UUUUGCAUGUUUUUGAAAGCUCUGCCACAUUCUCAAGCUUAUAAAGUUAAGGAGGAAUUCCAAUUUGAAUCAGUUGUCAAACACCUGUUGGUGUUUUGAAUGGACAUGAAAGACAGCAGUGGACUUUGGGAAUAAUCAGCAAAGGAGCAUCAAGCUGAGUCCAUCUGCACCCACAAUUGUACAUCACAAAACUAGACUCAGCCUGUUCUUGCUUUGCUUAGCAACAGUCACAAGCUGUGUGUUCAAUUCACUUCACUGAGCCCUGUACAUCAGCAUACCCUUCCCUAAGCCACUGCCCACACUCCCCUGUUUACAAUGCACCAAGUGCUGAAGAUCUGCCUUACCCAGAAAGCAGUUCCUGAGGUAGGGCCCCCACUCAGCCCCCCUCCUCCCCACAGCCUGACUCCUGCCCCAGUGCUCCCCUGCCUCCACUCCCACCGGGCUCUCUGCUGAACUUCUGUAGCCAAAACAAAAGACCACUUCUCAGAUUGGCAGCACUCCACAGCUGUGUUUACCCCUUCUUUCUAGAAAACGUCUCUCAUUUUAACUUUUGCCAUUCUGACUUGUCUCCCACUUACUUGUCCAUUGGCAAAAAGAUGACCAGUUCCAUGAAAAAAAAACAAGAACAAUUACAAAACAAACUUAAGAGCCACAUAAGCUCUUCCUUACGAUAUGGAAGAACUCACUGUUGCUGGAAAGAUUUUUUUUAGUGCGCUGAACGAAGUAGAAGCUGACUAGAGAGAGAAGCACAGGAGAAGGGACAUUUCAGACAUGAGUGACAAACAGGCAAAGGCAGGAUUGCCUGCCUAGGUGACAGAGUUGUAGCAAUUUCACAUCCAAAUGUGUCCUGCAGCCAUCCUCUUCCUUCCAAACUAUGGGUCCUUUUCCUAAUUCAGCCCCUCAGAACAAACUCAUUCUCCCCCUUCAGUUCCUCCUCCCUGCUGCUGUCCUGCUCCUCUGUCUUAAGUCAAUACAAAGUGCAUGAGCAGAACCACUGACCAUGCCCUAUGCCACACCGCACCCUGUGCCAGGAUACCUGCAGUCACCAUGGAUCCAGAACCUGCCUAGCAUUUCGGCUUUGUCUGUACCAAACACAAGCUCCCAAUUUACCUACAAACAUACAACUCACUAAUGUCCAGUUCAACCUUCCUUUUUUUGCCUUGCACAUUGUCCAGCUACCUGCCCCCCCCCACAAGCCACCACACACCUAACAGCAUGCAGCACUGAGCAAGCAAAAAUUGUUUAUGCAUCUGACUGGGGUCUGCAGCUGGCCAGUGCUGCUAAUCUUGCUGGAUAUACUCAUCAGACAGUAGCUUUCAACCACGGCAAGCUGCUCUCCCCAACCUCAAGGCAUAUGGUAAUAUCUAGAGAUGUUUUUCUGGUUUUCACAACUGGAGCAGGGGAAGGUAUUGUUGAGCUCUAGUGGGUAGAUGUCAAGGAUGGUCUCAACAUUAUAAAAGUGGACAUCCCACACACAAUGAAGACUCAUCAAGUCCCAGAAUAACAGUAGUGUUGAUAGUGAACAACAAUGCUGGAGGUGUUGGCUGGCUCUUGGUGGAACUGGAAUGGCCACAUCUGGAGUAAGUGGGCUCUAGGCCCGGUCUCUCAUCUCCCAGCAGGCCUUCCAGAGGCUCUGAUGAAACAGAUGGCUGAGUCAAGCAGAAUGACACAGCCUGACUUGGGACUGGGUAUGCAUUAUCUUUGCUACAAGCCCUGCAUAGAUCCAAGGAAAAGGGAAAUAGAUUCCAGUUCUGUAGUGGGAAGAACUGAAGUCACUCAAGAGUUUCCAAAGAAAAUAAAAUACUCUGUAUUCAAAUUUGCUCAGGAAUCUGGAAUUUCAGAUUGCUUGCUAUAGUGCAUCAUAAUACCCUGAUUACUUUGUUCCAUCAUAUGAUCUAGGGAUGACGGUGCUGGAAGAAAAUAUAAUUCUCUUCCCUGGAUGCACAUUCCUUUACACGCCCCACAGAAGUCAUCAUUCACAUGUGCUUUAAACCCUACACAGGCCAAUAGCAUCGCCCUGUGAGGCUUGCUUGCUUGUUAUCUCAUCUGCUGGGGCCGCUUGAGGAAACAUGUACAACACAACAAUGCCCAGUUCUUGAUCCACAUUGUAUUCUUUUUUCAUGUUUAUUGUUAGUGUAAAGAUGAUAUACUGAGGGGUUACAGUUACAUAAGUCAGAUAAACAGUAUGUUUCUUUUGGGA